AUGUCUUCAUAACAGCGAUAAUGAUUCCUUUGGUGGUGCUCUCCAUAGCUGUGGCUGGGUAUUAACGAGAGAGAGAGAAAGCGAGAGGGAGGGAGUGUGAGAGAGAGAGUGUACGUGUGAGUGAGUGUGAGAGAGAGGGAGAGAGAACGAGAAGUAGGAGAGAGUCAAAGACACAGAGAAGGGAGAAGAAAUACAGUAAUAGCUAAAGGGAGCGUAGGAGAGAGGUGGAGACAGAUUAAUACAGAGAGAGAGGGGAAGAGAGAGAUGUAGAAAGAGAUAGGGAGAAAGAGGGAGAGAGAAGAAGAGAUAAAGAAAGUGAGACAGAAAGAGGGAAGGAAACAGAGUGUGAUAAUGAGAGAGAGUCAGAAACAGGGAGAAUGGAAAAGAAAGGCAUAAUAGAUAAAGGGAGUAUAGAAGAGAGAGAGAGAGAGAGAAAGAGAGAGCGAGAGACUGGCGGGCAGAGAGCGAGGGACAGACAGUAAUAGUUAAAGAGAGCGUCGGAGAGAGGCAGAAAUAGAUCAAGAGAGAGAGAGAGAGAGAGAGAGAAUGGUAGUAAGUUGGUUGCAGUGAUUUGGUGGUGUUUGUAUGUAAGAGUGUCUUAAUGUUGUUGUUGGUAUAAUUUGGUGAUAAUUGUAGUAUUGGCUGUAAUAGAUGUGGUUAUGUUGUCAUGGUGUGGUGCAGUAGCGUUGUGGUUGGUGUAGUGACGGAGAUGCGGUGGUGAUGGUGGAGGUGGUGCUAUAAUGUGCUGAUAAUUGCGAUAUUGUUGGUAAUGCAUUUGAUGUUGAGGUGGUAGUGUGGCCAUGUAAUAGUGUUGUUAUGACCGUGUGGUGGCGCUGGUCGCAUAGUACUGGUGGUGUGGUAGUUGCGUGGUUGGUAAUAGUUGCGGUGGUGGGGUGGUGGUAGUGUAGUCGUAUACGGGUAGUGGUGGUCAUUUAGUAGAAGUAAUAGUUGUGUGUUGGUCACGUGGUAGCAGUAGUUGUUGUUGUUGUUGUGGUGGUGGUGAUGGUGGUGGUUGUAUGGUGUUGGUUUUAGCGCUAUGAUGGGGUAUUCGUGCCAACGGAUUUAGUGAGCUUGGACUGUGUACCAACUGUGACCAUCCCGCCUUUUUCGUGUACGUGACGACCCAGGACUAAAUUAUCCAGUGCAUUCAUUUUGACGACGGUAGAGUAUGGCCUGAGGGACAUUAUGUUGUCCACUCUUGCAUGUCGGAAGACGAAUUUGAACCUCCCUUUCUUAGUUCACGUUCUGAGGUUGAUCAUGAUAAAGGUGUUAAAAGUGGCUUUAUUAGUGGCGAUACUUGCGGAUUAUUGUUCAUGAAUGUGGAGGACUGAUGAUAGAGCAAGUAAUACCCCCGAACCCACUUAAGUCGAAUCACGUGAUCCCUCAUCAUAAAACACUUCAUUACGCUCGACGAAAAAGAUUCUUUGAUAGAACCAAGCUUAAAGCCUCCAUUGGUCAGGGUUCAAAAACUUCCAGUCAGCCAAAAUUUUCCUGAAGGACUCAUUUCCCAAUUGACCAGUAUGUCUCCCCUCUUUACGUCACUGAUACUAUUCAAUGGUAAAGCAGCAACCAACACGGGCUGGCAAACUCAGAACAUAAAAAUUGGAAAAUAUAUCUCUAAUCAUUUCACCCCACAAUCACUCAGAAACAGUACUUGAUUUUAUCGACCCCGGAAAGAUGAAACAAUAAUUGAUAUUGGCAGGAUUUAAAAUCAGAACGUAAUGGACUGGGACCGAUACUGUAAAGCACAUUGACCAACGCCCUAAUGAUUCCACCGUCCCACCAAAACAUAUCAUCUAUAGACCAUAUGAUAAAAGGUAUAGCACAUUUGGGUAUAGACCAUAGGAUAAAAGGAAUAGCACAUUUCUUGUGGCUUGCUCUCAGUCCAAAUGAAUAUGUUUUCAUAUUACAGUCAUGCAAAUUAUAUUUACAUCAAAAAUAGACAUUUUCUGUGGAAGAUAUCACCAACAGAUUCUUUAAAAUAGAAUGAAUCUGAAAAUUCGGUUGUUUGUUACCUUCACGUCGCCCCUGAUAUAAUAGGGUAACUGCGUAGUUAAAUAGAAGACGAUAAAAUAAGUCACAGACUCAAGUGAUCUAUAUAAUCAAACAUUUACAGAUAAGGUGGUUUUCCAGCUGGGUCGAAAUUAAGAAACGCUAAACAAUUGAAAAGAAAGCAAUACAAAAGACAAAACACGUUUGUUGGGAGAGUCUCUACUGUACGAGUGAAUCCAUACUCUUCCUACUUACUAUAUGGGUGACUGUAUACCAGUCCGAUAUAAUUUACAGACGAAUCUACACUAUUUCUACAUAUUGUACAGGUGAGUGUGUAUUAUUUCGAUACAUUUUACGAGCCACAUAUGUAUAUGAUGAGUGGAGGCGCAAUGGUCCAGUGGUUAGGGCAGCGGACUCGCGGUCAUAGGAUCGCGGUUUCGAUUCCCAGACCGGGCGUUGUGAGUGUUUAUUGAGCGAAAACACCUAAAGCUCCACGAGGCUCCGGCAG
rnacentral:lncRNA from 1 species